rnacentral:rRNA from 1 species
UACGUAGGGGGCAAGCGUUGUUCGGAAUUACUGGGCGUAAAGGGCGCGUAGGCGGCACAGCAAGUCGGGAGCGAAAGCCCGGGGCUCAACCCCGGAACUGCUUUCGAAACUGCUGAGCUAGAGUACAGAAGGGGCAACCGGAAUUCCCAGUGUAGCGGUGAAAUGCGUAGAUAUUGGGAAGAACACCUGAGGCGAAGGCGGGUUGCUGGGCUGAUACUGACGCUGAGGCGCGAAAGCCAGGGGAGCAAAC